rnacentral:rRNA from 2 species
CAGUCGUACCUUCGGGUAAUCAGCCUUUCGGGUGCGAUUCUGUGGAGUUUGAGGAGCUUAACACCUUCAUGCUUUGCAUAUUCGUGCUCUUGGGUGUACUUGCCCGUGUGGUUGGUUAACAUCAAUUUCGGGCACCAUAAAAUGGCUGGAGGAAUGUAGCUUCGAUCUUGUAUUGAAGUGUUAUAGCCUUCGGUAGAUGUGGUGAUCGAGAUUGAGGAUUGCAACGGAUACCUUUCGGGGCUACCUGCCUGAUCUCUGAUCGUUGCUUUGGUGCUGAAAGCGUGCUUAUAGUUAUCAAAGUCGAUGGUUAAUAGGUUAGAAUGGGUUAAA